rnacentral:rRNA from 1 species
UACGUAGGGUGCGAGCGUUGUCCGGAAUUAUUGGGCGUAAAGGGCUCGUAGGCGGUUUGUCGCGUCGGGAGUGAAAACCUCGGGCUUAACUCGGGGCUUGCUUUCGAUACGGGCAGACUGGAGGUAUGCAGGGGAGAACGGAAUUCCUGGUGUAGCGGUGAAAUGCGCAGAUAUCAGGAGGAACACCGGUGGCGAAGGCUGUUCUCUGGGCAUGACCUUACUCUGAGGAGCGAAAGUGUGGGGAGCGAACAGG